GAUGCACCAUUCAUGACUGGUCGCCUCUUUGUGCUGUCUGUAUUUCGCUUAUUUUACAUGAUAAAUAAAUGAUCGUGCUUGUAUGUUGUUUUUGCACCAA
rnacentral:lncRNA from 1 species